CUUUAGCAUAUAUUUUAGUGUUAUAAAUACUUAUUUAGUGUUAGAUUUGGCUGUUGGAUAUUGUAGUUUAGUUAGUGUUUGGCUGUUAGUGUAAUUGGGAAAGUAUUUCGGGUUUAGUGUUCCAUAUCGUCUUAGUAUUGGUGAGUAGGUGUAGUGUAGUAUGCUUGCGGUGACUCUGUGGGCAUUUUACCCGCGAUUCUGCACACCUCCGUUUGAAGAGGGAGGCUGCCCACCGUGGCUCUUCCGCGAUUUAGAUGCAGCCCACCGACUCUGCUCCCCCACCACGGCGGGCUCCAGUCUGAGGUGAGUCAGCUAAAUAAACGUUUUAACAUCUUCUAAAGACAAUUCCCUACCUAAAUGCAAAGUCUGAGAGACGUGGUUCACUUCCUUUAGCUAGUCAGUCGGUGAUUCUGCAACAGUGUCUCUAACUAACGCUGCACUAGUUGACAGCAUUACAGCGUGAAAUCCAGCUUGUGAACAGGUUCUGUAAGGAAUUCUGUUCAGGAGGUCGCAUUUCAGGCUCUCCACAUCAUAUGUGACUGACUUUUACGUUAUAAUGAUCACACACUAGGAAUGUUAUAAAGCGCCUAUAUAGGAGAUUCUUUUGUAUAUUAUCUGACUUUAUAAACUCCCAACAACAAUGUGCUUCUAUUUUUUUUUUCAGGCUAAAUCUACCCAAGACACUGGCUGUCAGACUGAUUUAGCUGCAUGAAUGUACUUGUCCAGGCUGAUGUGAAACCUUCCCUGUAGCAAAGCCAGUCAGAAUGGAGUUCACAGCCGCAGUGUGUCUGGUGACCCACGGUGACCAUGAUGAAAAUUCAUCUUCCAGAAGGUCCCAGAGCGUCCAGACCCCCUGAAAAGACCAAGAUGUGAGGUGUCUGCUGUUGAUUCCAGCUUCCACCUCAGUGACAGUGCAAGCUCAGUGAACUGUUCAAGCCUGGCUGAUCACCUGAUAACCCCUGUCAUCUGGUUAUGACAGCAUGAGGAUGUCCUCACACACCUGUAACCUAUCAGCUCUGGCAGAAUAGAGAGAGA